rnacentral:rRNA from 1 species
UACAGAGGUCUCAAGCGUUGUUCGGAUUCAUUGGGCGUAAAGGGUGCGUAGGUGGCGGGGUAAGUCAGGUGUGAAAUCUCGGGGCUCAACCCCGAAACUGCACUUGAUACUGCCUUGCUCGAGUACUGGAGAGGAGAGUGGAAUUUACGGUGUAGCAGUGAAAUGCGUAGAUAUCGUAAGGAAGACCAGUGGCGAAGGCGAAUCUCUGGACAGUUACUGACACUGAGGCACGAAGGCCAGGGGAGCAAACGGG